rnacentral:rRNA from 1 species
GGUGAACCUGCGGAAGGAUCAUUAUUGUAGGGACUCCGGUCCCCUCAAGAUGCAACCCGUGCCUUUUUUGUAGCCCGUAACGUUUCCUCGGCAGCCCCGCUGCCAGCGAGGACCCCCCCCAAACCAAACCUGCAAUCUCAGUAAAAAAUUCAGAAACCCCCCAAAAUUUAAAACUUUCAACAAUGGAUCUCUUGGCUCUGGCAUCGAUGAAGAACGCAGCGAAAUGCGAUAAGUAGUGUGAAUUGCAGAAUUCAGUGAAUCAUCGAAUCUUUGAACGCACAUUGCGCCCUUUGGUAUUCCUUAGGGCAUGCCUGUUCGAGCGUCAUUUCAAAAUUCAAGCUCAGCUUGGUGAUGGGCGUCUGUCCCGCCUCAGCGCGCGGACUCGCCUCAAAAGUAGUUGGCAGCUCCCUUAUCGGCACUGAACGCAGCAAAUUUGCGGGACGCACCGAAGAAAGGGGCUUACCAGUAAGCAAACCACCCCAGAUUGACCUCGGAUCAGGUAGGGAUACCCGCUGAACUUAAGCAUAUCAAUAAGCGGAGGAA